rnacentral:rRNA from 1 species
UACGGAGGGUGCAAGCGUUGUCCGGAUUUAUUGGGUUUAAAGGGUGCGUAGGCGGCCCGUUAAGUCAGUGGUGAAAGCCUCCAGCUCAACUGGAGAACUGCCAUUGAUACUGGCGGGCUUGAGUACAGACGAGGUAGGCGGAAUUGACGGUGUAGCGGUGAAAUGCUUAGAUAUCGUCAAGAACACCUAUAGCGAAGGCAGCUUACUAGGCUGUAACUGACGCUGAGGCACGAAAGUGUGGGGAUCAAACAGG